AACGAACGCUGGCGGCAUGCCUAACACAUGCAAGUCGAACGAUCCCUUCGGGGAUAGUGGCGCACGGGUGCGUAACGCGUGGGAACCUGCCCUUAGGUUCGGAAUAACUCAGAGAAAUUUGAGCUAAUACCGGAUAAUGUCUUCGGACCAAAGAUUUAUCGCCUUUGGAUGGGCCCGCGUUGGAUUAGCUAGUUGGUGGGGUAAAGGCCUACCAAGGCGACGAUCCAUAGCUGGUCUGAGAGGAUGAUCAGCCAUACUGGGACUGAGACACGGCCCAGACUCCUACGGGAGGCAGCAGUGGGGAAUAUUGGACAAUGGGCGAAAGCCUGAUCCAGCAAUGCCGCGUGAGUGAUGAAGGCCUUAGGGUUGUAAAGCUCUUUUACCCGGGAUGAUAAUGACAGUACCGGGAGAAUAAGCCCCGGCUAACUCCGUG
rnacentral:rRNA from 1 species